UGGCGGCGUGCCUAACACAUGCAAGUCGAGCGAGGAGAUCCUUCGGGAUGAUCCUAGCGGCGGACGGGUGAGUAACACGUGGGCAACCUGCCUCAUAGAGAGGAAUAGCCUUCCGAAAGGGAGAUUAAUACCUCAUAACAUUGCAGUUUCGCAUGGAACAGCAAUUAAAGGAGUAAUCCGCUAUGAGAUGGGCCCGCGGCGCAUUAGCUAGUUGGUGAGGUAACGGCUCACCAAGGCGACGAUGCGUAGCCGACCUGAGAGGGUGAUCGGCCACAUUGGGACUGAGACACGGCCCAGACUCCUACGGGAGGCAGCAGUGGGGAAUAUUGCACAAUGGGGGAAACCCUGAUGCCAGCAACGCCGCGUGAGUGAUGACGGCCUUCGGGUUGUAAAGCUCUGUCUUCAGGGACGAUAAUGACGGUACCUGAGGAGGAAGCCACGGCUAACUACGUGCCAGCCGCGGC
rnacentral:rRNA from 1 species